UGGGGAAUUUUGGACAAUGGGCGCAAGCCUGAUCCAGCAAUGCCGCGUGCAGGAUGAAGGCCUUCGGGUUGUAAACUGCUUUUGUACGGAGCGAAAAGGUCUGCCCUAAUACGGUGGGCUCAUGACGGUACCGUAAGAAUAAGCACCGGCUAACUACGUGCCAGCAGCCGCGGUAAUACGUAGGGUGCGAGCGUUAAUCGGAAUUACUGGGCGUAAAGCGUGCGCAGGCGGUUAUAUAAGACAGAGGUGAAAUCCCCGGGCUCAACCUGGGAACUGCCUUUGUGACUGCAUAGCUAGAGUACGGUAGAGGGGGAUGGAAUUCCGCGUGUAGCAGUGAAAUGCGUAGAUAUGCGGAGGAACACCGAUGGCGAAGGCAAUCCCCUGGACCUGUACUGACGCUCAUGCACGAAAGCGUGUGGAGCAAACA
rnacentral:rRNA from 1 species